GACGAACGCUGGCGGCGUGCCUAAUACAUGCAAGUCGAGCGCAGGAAAUCAUCCGAACCCUUCGGGGGGACGUUGAUGGAAUGAGCGGCGGACGGGUGAGUAACACGUAAAGAACCUGCCCUCAGGUCUGGGAUAACCACGAGAAAUCGGGGCUAAUACCGGAUGGGUCAUCGGACCGCAUGGUCCGAGGAUGAAAGGCGCUUCGGCGUCGCCUGGGGAUGGCUUUGCGGUGCAUUAGCUAGUUGGUGGGGUAAUGGCCCACCAAGGCGACGAUGCAUAGCCGACCUGAGAGGGUGAUCGGCCACACUGGGACUGAGACACGGCCCAGACUCCUACGGGAGGCAGCAGUAGGGAAUCUUCCACAAUGGACGAAAGUCUGAUGGAGCAACGCCGCGUGAACGAUGAAGGCCUUCGGGUCGUAAAGUUCUGUUGUAAGGGAAGAACAAGUGCCGCAGGCAAUGGCGGCACCUUGACGGUACCUUGCGAGAAAGCCACGGCUAACUACGUGCCAGCCGCCGCAGUAAAAC
rnacentral:rRNA from 1 species